rnacentral:rRNA from 1 species
AUUGAACGCUGGCGGCAUGCCUAACACAUGCAAGUCGAACGAGGUUGACUUCCGCCAGCCUAGUGGCGGACGGGUGAGUAAUGCGUGGGAAUCUGCCUCGUAGUGGGGGAUAACGUAGGGAAACUUACGCUAAUACCGCAUACGCUCUACGGAGGAAGGGGGGGGAUCUUUGGACCUCUCGCUAUGAGAUGAGCCCACGUCUGAUUAGCUAGUUGGUGGGGUAAAGGCCUACCAAGGCGACGAUCAGUAGCCGGCCUGAGAGGGUGUACGGCCACACUGGGACUGAGACACGGCCCACACUCCUACGGGAGGCAGCAGUGGGGAAUAUUGGACAAUGGGCGAAAGCCUGAUCCAGCAAUGCCGCGUGUGUGAAGAAGGCCUGCGUGUUGUAAAGCACUUUAAGUGGGGAAGAAUGGGAUUGCGCUAAUACCGUGAUCCUUUGACGUUACCCACAGAAUAAGCACCGGCUAACUCUGUGCCAGCAGCCGCGGUAAUACGGAGGGUGCGAGCGUUAAUCGGAAUUACUGGGCGUAAAGCGCAUGUAGGCGGUUUGAUAAGUC